UUGGUCGGCGCGCCUACUACAUGCAAGUCGAACGAGAUGUGUAGCAAUACACAUGUACAGUGGCGAACGGGUAGUACAUGGGUAACCUACCCUCGAGUGGGGAAUAACUAGCCGAAAGGUUAGCUAAUACCGCGUACGCUUCCCGGACUGCGGUUCGGGAAGGAAAGCGAUACCGUGGGUAUCGCGCUCUUGGAUGGGCUCAUGCCCUAUCAGCUUGUUGGUGAGGUAACGGCUCACCAAGGCUUCGACGGGUAGCUGAUCUGAGAGGAUGAUCAGCCACACUGGCACUGCGACACGGGCCAGACUCCUACGGGAGGCAGCAGUAAGGAAUAUUGCGCAAUGGGCGAAAGCCUGACGCAGCGACGCCAGCGUGGGGGAUGAAGGUCUUCGGAUUUGUAAACCCCUUUCGGGAGGGAAGAUGGGAUGGGGUAACCCAUUCGGACGGUACCUCCAGAAGCAGACACGGCUAACUUCGUGCCAGCAGCCGCGGUAAUACGAAGGUGGCCAGCGUUGUUCGGAUUUA
rnacentral:rRNA from 1 species